rnacentral:rRNA from 1 species
GAUGAACGCUGGCGGCGUGCCUAAUACAUGCAAGUCGAGCGAACCACUUCGGUGGUGAGCGGCGAACGGGUGAGUAACACGUAGGUUAUCUGCCCAUCAGACGGGGACAACGAUUGGAGACGAUCGCUAAUACCGGAUAGGACGAAAGUUUAAAGGUGCUUCUGGCACCGCUGAUGGAUGAGCCUGCGGCGCAUUAGCUAGUUGGUAGGGUAAAGGCCUACCAAGGCGACGAUGCGUAGCCGACCUGAGAGGGUGAACGGCCACACUGGGACUGAGACACGGCCCAGACUCCUACGGAGGGCAGCAGUAGGGAAUCUUCGGCAAUGGGCGAAAGACUGACCGAGCAACGCCGCGUGAAUGAUGAAGGCCUUCGGGUUGUAAAAUUCUGUUAUAAGGGAAGAACGACUUUAGUAGGAAAUGGCUAAAGUGUGACGGUACCUUAUGAGAAAGCCACGGCUAACUACGUGCCAGCCGCCGCCGUAA